rnacentral:rRNA from 1 species
GACGAACGCUGGCGGCGUGCUUAACACAUGCAAGUCGAACGGAAAGGCCCUGCUUUUGUGGGGUGCUCGAGUGGCGAACGGGUGAGUAACACGUGAGUAACCUGCCCUUGACUUUGGGAUAACUUCAGGAAACGGGGGCUAAUACCGGAUAGGAGCUCCUGCUGCAUGGUGGGGGUUGGAAAGUUUCGGCGGUUGGGGAUGGACUCGCGGCUUAUCAGCUUGUUGGUGGGGUAGUGGCUUACCAAGGCUUUGACGGGUAGCCGGCCUGAGAGGGUGACCGGCAAAAUGGGGACUGGGAAACGGCCCAGACUCCUACGGGAGGAAGCAGUGGGAAUAUUGCACAAUGGGCGGAAGCCUGAUGCAGCAACGCCGCGUGCGGGAUGACGGCCUUCGGGUUGUAAACCGCUUUCGCCUGUGACGAAGCGUGAGUGACGGUAAUGGGUAAAGAAGCACCGGCUAACUACGUG